GCGGCUGUGGCGGAACUGGUAGACGCGCUGGAUUUAGGUUCCAGUGGGCUAGCCCCGUGGAGGUUCAAGUCCUCUCAGCCGCACCA
rnacentral:tRNA from 1 species